UUCCGAAUGGGGAAACCCAGUGUGUUUCGACACACUAUCAUUAACUGAAUCCAUAGGUUAAUGAGGCGAACCGGGGGAACUGAAACAUCUAAGUACCCCGAGGAAAAGAAAUCAACCGAGAUUCCCCCAGUAGCGGCGAGCGAACGGGGAGGAGCCCAGAGCCUGAAUCAGUGUGUGUGUUAGUGGAAGCGUCUGGAAAGGCGCGCGAUACAGGGUGACAGCCCCGUACACAAAAAUGCACAUAUUGUGAGCUCGAUGAGUAGGGCGGGACACGUGGUAUCCUGUCUGAAUAUGGGGGGACCAUCCUCCAAGGCUAAAUACUCCUGACUGACCGAUAGUGAACCAGUACCGUGAGGGAAAGGCGAAAAGAACCCCGGCGAGGGGAGUGAAAAAGAACCUGAAACCGUGUACGUACAAGCAGUGGGAGCCUCUUAAUGGGGUGACUGCGUACCUUUUGUAUAAUGGGUCAGCGACUUAUAUUCUGUAGCAAGGUUAACCGAAUAGGGGAGCCGAAGGGAAACCGAGUCUUAACUGGGCGUUAAGUUGCAGGGUAUAGACCCGAAACCCGGUGAUCUAGCCAUGGGCAGGUUGAAGGUUGGGUAACACUAACUGGAGGACCGAACCGACUAAUGUUGAAAAAUUAGCGGAUGACUUGUGGCUGGGGGUGAAAGGCCAAUCAAACCGGGAGAUAGCUGGUUCUCCCCGAAAGCUAUUUAGGUAGCGCCUCGUGAAUUCAUCUCCGGGGGUAGAGCACUGUUUCGGCAAGGGGGUCAUCCCGACUUACCAACCCGAUGCAAACUGCGAAUACCGGAGAAUGUUAUCACGGGAGACACACGGCGGGUGCUAACGUCCGUCGUGAAGAGGGAAACAACCCAGACCGCCAGCUAAGGUCCCAAAGUCAUGGUUAAGUGGGAAACGAUGUGGGAAGGCCCAGACAGCCAGGAUGUUGGCUUAGAAGCAGCCAUCAUUUAAAGAAAGCGUAAUAGCUCACUGGUCGAGUCGGCCUGCGCGGAAGAUGUAACGGGGCUAAACCAUG
rnacentral:rRNA from 1 species